rnacentral:rRNA from 1 species
AGAGUUUGAUCCUGGCUCAGAACGAACGCUGGCGGCAUGGAUUAGGCAUGCAAGUCGAACGGUGAUAGCAAUAUCAUAGUGGCGCAAGGGUGAGGAACGCGUGAGUGAUCUACCCUCAAGUUUGGAAUAGCUCCUGGAAACGGGAAUUAAUACCGGAUGUGAUUGCAGGACUGCAUGGUUUUGCAAUUAAAGCAGCAAUGCGCUUGAGGAGGAGCUCGCGUCCCAUUAGCUAGUUGGUGAGGUAAAGGCCCACCAAGGCGAUGAUGGGUAGCUGGUCUGAGAGGACGACCAGCCACACUGGGACUGAGAACUGCCCAGACUCCUACGGGAGGCUGCAGUCGAGAAUUUUGGGCAAUGGACGAAAGUCUGACCCAGCAAUGCCGCGUGCGGGAUGAAGGUCUUCGGAUUGUAAACCGCUGUCGAGGGGGACGAAAUAUGACGGUACCCCUGGAGGAAGCCACGGCUAACUACGUGCCAGCAGCCGCGGUAAUACGUAGGUGGCGAGCGUUGUUCGGAUUUAUUGGGCGUAAAGGGUCCGCAGGGGGUUGAUUAAGUCUGACGUGAAAUCUCUGAGCUCAACUCAGAAAAUGCGUUGGAGACUGGUUG